rnacentral:rRNA from 1 species
AAAGGAAUAGACGGGGGCCCGCACAAGCGGUGGAGCAUGUGGUUUAAUUCGAAGCAACGCGAAGAACCUUACCAGGUCUUGACAUCGAUCUAAAGGUCCUAGAGAUAGGAAGAUAGUUAUAGAGAAGACAGGUGGUGCAUGGUUGUCGUCAGCUCGUGUCGUGAGAUGUUGGGUUAAGUCCCGCAACGAGCGCAACCCUUGUCGUUAGUUACCAGCACUUAAGGUGGGGACUCUAACGAGACCGCCGGUGACAAGCCGGAGGAAGACGGGGAUGACGUCAAAUCAUCAUGCCCCUUAUGACCUGGGCGACACACGUGCUACAAUGGUAGGGACAAAGAGAAGCGAAGCAGUGAUGUGGAGCGAACCUCAAAAACCCUAUCGUAGUCCGGAUUGCAGUCUGCAACUCGACUGCAUGAAGCUGGAAUCGCUAGUAAUCGCAAGUCAGCCAUAUUGCGGUGAAUACGUUCUCGGGCCUUGUACACACCGCCCGU